rnacentral:rRNA from 1 species
GGUUAAGCGACUAAGCGUACACGGUGGAUGCCCUGGCAGUCAGAGGCGAUGAAGGACGUGCUAAUCUGCGAUAAGCGUCGGUAAGGUGAUAUGAACCGUUAUAACCGGCGAUUUCCGAAUGGGGAAACCCAGUGUGAUUCGUCACACUAUCAUUAACUGAAUCCAUAGGUUAAUGAGGCGAACCGGGGGAACUGAAACAUCUAAGUACCCCGAGGAAAAGAAAUCAACCGAGAUUCCCCCAGUAGCGGCGAGCGAACGGGGAGCAGCCCAGAGCCUGAAUCAGUGUGUGUGUUAGUGGAAGCGUCUGGAAAGGCGCGCGAUACAGGGUGAUAGCCCCGUACACAAAAAUGCACAUGCUGUGAGCUCGAUGAGUAGGGCGGGACACGUGGUAUCCUGUCUGAAUAUGGGGGGACCAUCCUCCAAGGCUAAAUACUCCUGACUGACCGAUAGUGAACCAGUACCGUGAGGGAAAGGCGAAAAGAACCCCGGCGAGGGGAGUGAAAAAGAACCUGAAACCGUGUACGUACAAGCAGUGGGAGCACGCUUAGGCGUGUGACUGCGUACCUUUUGUAUAAUGGGUCAGCGACUUAUAUUCUGUAGCAAGGUUAACCGAAUAGGGGAGCCGAAGGGAAACCGAGUCUUAACUGGGCGUUAAGUUGCAGGGUAUAGACCCGAAACCCGGUGAUCUAGCCAUGGGCAGGUUGAAGGUUGGGUAACACUAACUGGAGGACCGAACCGACUAAUGUUGAAAAAUUAGCGGAUGACUUGUGGCUGGGGGUGAAAGGCCAAUCAAACCGGGAGAUAGCUGGUUCUCCCCGAAAGCUAUUUAGGUAGCGCCUCGUGAAUUCAUCUCCGGGGGUAGAGCACUGUUUCGGCAAGGGGGUCAUCCCGACUUACCAACCCGAUGCAAACUGCGAAUACCGGAGAAUGUUAUCACGGGAGACACACGGCGGGUGCUAACGUCCGUCGUGAAGAGGGAAACAACCCAGACCGCCAGCUAAGGUCCCAAAGUCAUGGUUAAGUGGGAAACGAUGUGGGAAGGCCCAGACAGCCAGGAUGUUGGCUUAGAAGCAGCCAUCAUUUAAAGAAAGCGUAAUAGCUCACUGGUCGAGUCGGCCUGCGCGGAAGAUGUAACGGGGCUAAACCAUGCACCGAAGCUGCGGCAGCGACGCUGAUGCGUUGUUGGGUAGGGGAGCGUUCUGUAAGCCUGCGAAGGUGUGCUGUGAGGCAUGCUGGAGGUAUCAGAAGUGCGAAUGCUGACAUAAGUAACGAUAAAGCGGGUGAAAAGCCCGCUCGCCGGAAGACCAAGGGUUCCUGUCCAACGUUAAUCGGGGCAGGGUGAGUCGACCCCUAAGGCGAGGCCGAAAGGCGUAGUCGAUGGGAAACAGGUUAAUAUUCCUGUACUUGGUGUUACUGCGAAGGGGGGACGGAGAAGGCUAUGUUGGCCGGGCGACGGUUGUCCCGGUUUAAGCGUGUAGGCUGGUUUUCCAGGCAAAUCCGGAAAAUCAAGGCUGAGGCGUGAUGACGAGGCACUACGGUGCUGAAGCAACAAAUGCCCUGCUUCCAGGAAAAGCCUCUAAGCAUCAGGUAACAUCAAAUCGUACCCCAAACCGACACAGGUGGUCAGGUAGAGAAUACCAAGGCGCUUGAGAGAACUCGGGUGAAGGAACUAGGCAAAAUGGUGCCGUAACUUCGGGAGAAGGCACGCUGAUAUGUAGGUGAAGUCCCUCGCGGAUGGAGCUGAAAUCAGUCGAAGAUACCAGCUGGCUGCAACUGUUUAUUAAAAACACAGCACUGUGCAAACACGAAAGUGGACGUAUACGGUGUGACGCCUGCCCGGUGCCGGAAGGUUAAUUGAUGGGGUUAGCGCAAGCGAAGCUCUUGAUCGAAGCCCCGGUAAACGGCGGCCGUAACUAUAACGGUCCUAAGGUAGCGAAAUUCCUUGUCGGGUAAGUUCCGACCUGCACGAAUGGCGUAAUGAUGGCCAGGCUGUCUCCACCCGAGACUCAGUGAAAUUGAACUCGCUGUGAAGAUGCAGUGUACCCGCGGCAAGACGGAAAGACCCCGUGAACCUUUACUAUAGCUUGACACUGAACAUUGAGCCUUGAUGUGUAGGAUAGGUGGGAGGCUUUGAAGUGUGGACGCCAGUCUGCAUGGAGCCGACCUUGAAAUACCACCCUUUAAUGUUUGAUGUUCUAACGUUGACCCGUAAUCCGGGUUGCGGACAGUGUCUGGUGGGUAGUUUGACUGGGGCGGUCUCCUCCUAAAGAGUAACGGAGGAGCACGAAGGUUGGCUAAUCCUGGUCGGACAUCAGGAGGUUAGUGCAAUGGCAUAAGCCAGCUUGACUGCGAGCGUGACGGCGCGAGCAGGUGCGAAAGCAGGUCAUAGUGAUCCGGUGGUUCUGAAUGGAAGGGCCAUCGCUCAACGGAUAAAAGGUACUCCGGGGAUAACAGGCUGAUACCGCCCAAGAGUUCAUAUCGACGGCGGUGUUUGGCACCUCGAUGUCGGCUCAUCACAUCCUGGGGCUGAAGUAGGUCCCAAGGGUAUGGCUGUUCGCCAUUUAAAGUGGUACGCGAGCUGGGUUUAGAACGUCGUGAGACAGUUCGGUCCCUAUCUGCCGUGGGCGCUGGAGAACUGAGGGGGGCUGCUCCUAGUACGAGAGGACCGGAGUGGACGCAUCACUGGUGUUCGGGUUGUCAUGCCAAUGGCACUGCCCGGUAGCUAAAUGCGGAAGAGAUAAGUGCUGAAAGCAUCUAAGCACGAAACUUGCCCCGAGAUGAGUUCUCCCUGACUCCUUGAGAGUCCUGAAGGAACGUUGAAGACGACGACGUUGAUAGGCCGGGUGUGUAAGCGCAGCGAUGCGUUGAGCUAACCGGUACUAAUGAACCGUGAGGCUUAACCUU